rnacentral:rRNA from 1 species
CGUGAGUAACCUGCCUCUAAGAGGGGAGUAACAUUCUGAAAAGAAUGCUAAUACCGCAUAACAUAUAUUUAUCGCAUGGUAGAUAUAUCAAAGAUUUAUCGCUUAGAGAUGGACUCGCGUCCGAUUAGUUAGUUGGUGAGGUAACGGCUCACCAAGACUGCGAUCGGUAGCCGGACUGAGAGGUUGAACGGCCACAUUGGGACUGAGACACGGCCCAG